rnacentral:rRNA from 1 species
UACGUAGGGGGCAAGCGUUGUCCGGAUUUAUUGGGCGUAAAGAGCGUGUAGGCGGCCAGGUAGGUCUGGUGUGAAAACUCGAGGCUUAACCUCGAGAUGUCAUCGGAAACCAUUUGGCUAGAGUCCGGAAGAGGAGAGUGGAAUUCCUGGUGUAGCGGUGAAAUGCGCAGAUAUCAGGAAGAACACCAAUGGCGAAAGCAGCUCUCUGGGACGGUACUGACGCUGAGACGCAAAAGCGUGGGGAGCGAACAGG